ACCUGCCCUAUGNNNAGUUNNNAUUAAAUGGCUGCGGUAUUUUGACCGUGCAAAGGUAGCAUAAUAAUUAGUUUUUUAAUUGGGAACUGGAAUGAAUGGUUGGACGAAAAAAAUACUGUCUCAGUUUAAAUUUAAUUAGAAUUUUAUUUUUAAGUUAAAAAGCUUAAAUAUAUUUAAAAGACGAGAAGACCCUAUAGAGUUUUAUAUAAUUUANUAAUAUNUUAAANAAUUUAAGNNUAUUAUAGUUUUNAUUUAUUAUNAGUNUUAUAUUUGGUUGGGGUGAUUAAAAAAUUAAAUAAACUUUUUUUAUUNNAUUAAUUNCAUAGAUUUAUGAAUAAUUGAUCCAUNUUAUUAUGAUUAAAAGAUU
rnacentral:rRNA from 1 species